CCAGAACCAUCCGCCAGGGUACUACGAGCAUCAGCUUAAAACCCAAAGGACUUGGCGGUGCUUAAGACCCCCCUAGAGGAGCCUGUUCUAGAACCGAUACCCCUCGUUAAACCUCACCCCUCCUUGUUUAUCCCGCCUAUAUACCGCCGUCGUCAGCUUACCCUGUGAAGGGAUAAUAGUAAGCAAAAUCAGCAAACCCCAAAACGUCAGGUCGAGGUGUAGCGAAUGGAGGGGGAAGAAAUGGGCUACAUUCCUUAUACAUAAGGAAAACGAAAGAUGUGAUGAAAUACACAUCAGAAGGAGGAUUUAGCAGUAAGUGGGAAGCAGAGAGUCCCGCUGAAGCCGGCCCUAAAGCGCGCACAC
rnacentral:rRNA from 1 species